rnacentral:rRNA from 1 species
AUGGGUCAUUUCCAGUUCAAGGUAAUGCCGUAUGGUCUGGCAUACGCCCCAGUUACAUUCAUGGGAAAUAUGAACAAUGUGUUAGCCCCGGUCAACCGCAAAGGUGUAGUGGUUUUCAUGGACGACAUCUUGGUCUUCACGAAAACGUUGGAGCAGCACCGAGAUCUUCUGGCUCAAGUUCUGCAACUGUUAAGACAACAUCAAUUCUAUGUCAAAUUGUCCAAGUGUUCAUUUGCUCAGCAAACAAUCAACUACUUGGGGCACUACGUGAGCAAAGAUGGGGUUUCAACCGACAAAAGCAAAGUUCAAACAGUACAAGAGUGGCCAGUGCCUGACACAGUCAAACAACUCAGAGGGUUCCUUGGUCUAGCCGGCUACUAUAGGAAGUUUGUCAAAAACUUUGGGAUUAUCUCCAAACCAUUGACAGAUCUUCUCAAGAAGAAUACGUUGUUCGUGUGGACUCCAACCGCAGACGCAGCCUUUCAGGCACUCAAACAAGCGCUAGUUGAAGCCCCGGUGUUGGCUUUGCCAGAUUUUACCAAACAGUUCGUGGUCGAGACUGACACAAGCGGCACAGGCAUUGGAGCAGUGUUAAUGCAGAACUCCCACCCCAUUACGUACCUGAGCAAAGCGCUUUCUCCGCGCAAUCUAGGGCUCUCAGCUUACGAGAAGGAGUGCCUGGCAUUGCUCCUGGCAGUUGACAGAUGGAGACCAUACCUCCAACACGCAGAAUUUGUGGUGAGGACGGACCAGAAAAGUUUGCUGCAUCUAACAGAUCAGAGAUUGCACACCCCGAUUCAGCAGCGCGCGUUCACUAAACUAGUGGGGCUGCAGUACGUCAACCAAUACAAAGCUGGGUUGGCAAACCGUGCCGCGGACGCGCUGUCUCGACGCGACCACGCUGAUGAAAGCGAGUUUGUGGCAUUGGCAGUGUGCAAACCAGCUCGGUUAGAAGCAGUCAAAAACAGCUACAAAGAUGAUCCCAACGCAACAAAGAAGCUAACCAUCUUAGCCCUGGACCCGGCCAGCGAACCAGAGUUCACAGCACAGGACGGGGUCCUUCGCUUCCAAGGCAGAAUCUGGAUUGGAGAAGACAAGCAGAUACGGCAGCACCUGAUCAACUCGCUGCACUCGAGCGCGGCUGGAGGCCACUGUGGAUUUUAUGCAACUUACAAUCGCAUCAAACGGAUGUUUGCUUGGAAGGGACUAAAGCAGCAGGUCAAACACACGGUCAGGAAUUGUCUGGUGUGUCAGCAAGCAAAGACGGAGAGGACGUCCCAGGCAGGCCUUCUUCAACCAUUGUCGAUCCCGCAGAAACCAUGGGCGAUCGUGUCGCUCGAUUUCAUUGAAGGUUUGCCCAAGUCCUGCGGAUAUGACGUGAUCUUAGUGGUGGUCGACAAGUUCUCGAAGUACGCCCACUUCAUACCCAUGACACAUCCAUACACAGCUCUUCAAGUGGCCAAGCUGUUCAUGAGAAAGAUAUUCCGUCUGCAUGGGCUGCCACUGGCUAUUAUAUCUGACAGGGACAGAGUGUUUACGAGCAAUGUCUGGCAGGAGCUGUUCAAGCUGUGUCGCACCGAGUUGCGCAUGAGUUCUUCUUACCAUCCGCAGACGGAUGGGCAGACGGAGCGAGUGAACCAAUGCCUAGAGACUUAUCUGCGAUGUGCGGUUCACGCAUGCCCGGCCAACUGGGCGAAAUGGUUAGCGCUAGCGGAAUUCUGGUACAAUACCUCCUUUCACUCAUCACUGGGCAGAACCCCAUUUGAAGUCAUAUAUGGUCACCUGCCUCGCGAGUUCGGUGUGUCGCAAGUCGACAACUGCUCGGUUCCAGACUUAGCAGCGUGGCUGCGAGAGAGGGAGAUUAUGAUGGAGCAUUUGCAACAACAGCUGAAAAAGGCGCAGGAUCGCAUGAAAGCACAGGCCGACCGACACCGAACUGAGCGUUCGUUCGAAGUCGGGGAUUCAGCGUUGCUCAAACUACAGCCGUUCAUUCAAACAUCGAUCGCUCAACGACCGUUUCAGAAGCUCGCCUUCAGGUAUUACGGCCCGUACAAGAUCAUUGCAAAGGUGGGGGCUGUCGCCUACAAGCUGGAUCUUCCAUCCACAAGUAAAAUCCACCCGGUGGUGCACGUCUCCCUACUGAAGAACGCAGAAGGCGCUGAGGUACAAGCAAACCCAGACUUACCCCCUACUAACGAGAUCUUGCAGGCGGAGCAUGUGCCAAUAGCUGUUCUCGCCACCAAGCAAGUCAGAAUGGCGAACAAGGAGAACACUCGCCUGUUGAUCCAUUGGGAAGGACUGCCAGCAUCGUUGGCAACCUGGGAAGAUCCCGCUCGUCUGCAACAACAGUUCCCUGCCACUCCGCCUUCGGGUCAAGGCGGCACUCAAGGAGGGGUGAAUGUCACGACUGAGAUGGCGACCCCGCAGCCUCUACAGGGCGCUGACGAGAUGGGGCCACAAGCCAGGGAGAACGUGGAGGAGAAGGGAAGCAGUGCGCUUACAGGUGGACCCGAGAUGGCAGGGUAG